GUGCGUAACGCGUAUGCAACCUACCUUAAUCAGGGGGAUAGCCCGAAGAAAUUCGGAUUAACACCGCAUAAAAUCACAGUAUAGCAUUAUACAAUGAUCAAAUAUUUAUAGGAUUAAGAUGGGCAUGCGUGACAUUAGUUAGUUGGCGGGGUAACGGCCCACCAAGACCACGAUGUCUAGGGGAUCUGAGAGGAUGACCCCCCACACUGGUACUGAGACACGGACCAGACUCCUACGGGAGGCAGCAGUAAGGAAUAUUGGUCAAUGGAGGCAACUCUGAACCAGCCAUGCCGCGUGCAGGAAGACAGCCCUCUGGGUCGUAAACUGCUUUUAUUCGGGAAUAAACCUACUUACGUGUAAGUAGCUGAAUGUACCGAAGGAAUAAGGAUCGGCUAACUCCGUGCCAGCAGCCGCGGUAAUACGGAGGAUCCAAGCGUUAUCCGGAUUUAUUGGGUUUAAAGGGUGCGUAGGCGGCUUUUUAAGUCAGGGGUGAAAGACGGUGGCUCAACCAUCGCAGUGCCCUUGAUACUGAAGAGCUUGAAUGAAUUAGAGGUAGGCGGAAUGUGACAAGUAGCGGUGAAAUGCAUAGAUAUGUCACAGAACACCGAUUGCGAAGGCAGCUUACUAUGAUUUUAUUGACGCUGAGGCACGAAAGCGUGGGGAUCAAACAGGAUUAGAUACCCUGGUAGUCCACGCCCUAAACGAUGAAUACUCGCUGUUAGCGAUACACAGUUAGCGGCUAAGCGAAAGCGUUAAGUAUUCCACCUGGGGAGUACGGUCGCAAGAUUGAAACUCAAAGGAAUUGACGGGGGCCCGCACAAGCGGAGGAGCAUGUGGUUUAAUUCG
rnacentral:rRNA from 1 species